rnacentral:rRNA from 1 species
GACGAACGCUGGCGGCGUGCUUAACACAUGCAAGUCGAACGGAAAGGCUCCAGCUUGCUGGAGUACUCGAGUGGCGAACGGGUGAGUAACACGUGGGUAAUCUGCCCUGCACUCUGGGAUAAGCCUGGGAAACUGGGUCUAAUACUGGAUAUGACCUUUCUCCUUAUGGGGUUUGGUGGAAAGUUUUUCGGUGUAGGAUGAGCCCGCGGCCUAUCAGCUUGUUGGUGGGGUGAUGGCCUGCCAAGGCGACGACGGGUAGCCGGCCUGAGAGGGUGAUCGGCCACAUUGGGACUGAGAUACGGCCCAGACUCCUACGGGAGGCAGCAGUGGGGAAUAUUGCACAAUGGGCGGAAGCCUGAUGCAGCGACGCCGCGUGAGGGAUGACGGCCUUCGGGUUGUAAACCUCUUUCAGCAGGGACGAAGCGUAAGUGACGGUACCUGCAGAAGAAGCACCGGCUAACUAUGUG